GAUGAACGCUGGCGGCGUGCCUAAUACAUGCAAGUCGAGCGAACAGAUGAGGAGCUUGCUCCUCUGACGUUAGCGGCGGACGGGUGAGUAACACGUGGAUAACCUACCUAUAAGACUGGGAUAACUUCGGGAAACCGGAGCUAAUACCGGAUAAUAUAUUGAACCGCAUGGUUCAAUAGUGAAAGACGGUUUUGCUGUCACUUAUAGAUGGAUCCGCGCCGCAUUAGCUAGUUGGUAAGGUAACGGCUUACCAAGGCAACGAUGCGUAGCCGACCUGAGAGGGUGAUCGGCCACACUGGAACUGAGACACGGUCCAGACUCCUACGGGAGUCAGCAGUAGGGAAUCUUCCGCAAUGGGCGAAAGCCUGACGGAGCAACGCCGCGUGAGUGAUGAAGGUCUUCGGAUCGUAAAACUCUGUUAUUAGGGAAGAACAAAUGUGUAAGUAACUAUGCACGUCUUGACGGUACCUAAUCAGAAAGCCACGGCUAACUACGUG
rnacentral:rRNA from 1 species